rnacentral:rRNA from 1 species
GCAUGGUUGUCGUCAGCUCGUGUCGUGAGAUGUUGGGUUAAGUCCCGCAACGAGCGCAACCCUUAUUGUUAGUUGCCAUCAUUCAGUUGGGCACUCUAGCAAGACUGCCGGUGACAAACCGGAGGAAGGUGGGGAUGACGUCAAAUCAUCAUGCCCCUUAUGACCUGGGCUACACACGUGCUACAAUGGGAAGUACAACGAGUUGCGAAGUCGCGAGGCUAAGCUAAUCUCUUAAAGCUUCUCUCAGUUCGGAUUGCAGGCUGCAACUCGCCUGCAUGAAGCCGGAAUCGCUAGUAAUCGCGGAUCAGCACGCCGCGGUGAAUACGUUCCCGGGCCUUGUACACACCGCCCGUCACACCACGAGAGUUUGUAACACCCGAAGUCGGUGAGGUAACCUUUUUGGAGCCAGCCGCCUAAGGUGGGAUAGAUGAUUGGGGUGAAGUCGUAACAAGGUAGCCGUAUCGGAAGGUGCGGCUGGAUCACCUCCUUU